UGGGGAAUAUUGCACAAUGGGCGCAAGCCUGAUGCAGCCAUGCCGCGUGUGUGAAGAAGGCCUUCGGGUUGUAAAGCACUUUCAGCGAGGAGGAAGGGUAGUGUGUUAAUAGCACAUUGCAUUGACGUUACUCGCAGAAGAAGCACCGGCUAACUCCGUGCCAGCAGCCGCGGUAAUACGGAGGGUGCAAGCGUUAAUCGGAAUUACUGGGCGUAAAGCGCACGCAGGCGGUUUGUUAAGUCAUGUGAAAUCCCCGCGCUUAACGUGGGAACUGCAUUUGAAACUGGCAAGCUAGAGUCUUGUAGAGGGGGGUAGAAUUCCAGGUGUAGCGGUGAAAUGCGUAGAGAUCUGGAGGAAUACCGGUGGCGAAGGCGGCCCCCUGGACAAAGACUGACGCUCAGGUGCGAAAGCGUGGGGAGCAAAACAGGAUUAGAUACCCUUGGU
rnacentral:rRNA from 1 species